CAGCAUUUUCAUCAUGUUUUCUCGUGUGCUUUUGGUUUGCUUGGCCCUAUUCGCUGUGGCAUAUGCACAACCUCUUCCUGGGGAUGAAGUCGAAGCCUUUGAUGUUUCCCGUUCUGGUUUAGCUCGACCAUUUGUUCUUCCUGAGCCAGAUGAUAACCGACAGCAGCGCACUUUGGUCUUUCUCCUCCCUAUUCUGUUCCCCAAAGAAUUUUACCUUACAUAAAUGAAUGAAUAAAGUCAAUUGAUCAAGCUUA